rnacentral:rRNA from 1 species
UGGGGAAUAUUGGACAAUGGGCGCAAGCCUGAUCCAGCCAUGCCGCGUGAGUGAUGAAGGCCCUAGGGUUGUAAAGCUCUUUCACCGGUGAAGAUAAUGACGGUAACCGGAGAAGAAGCCCCGGCUAACUUCGUGCCAGCAGCCGCGGUAAUACGAAGGGGGCUAGCGUUGUUCGGAUUUACUGGGCGUAAAGCGCACGUAGGCGGACUAUUUAGUCAGGGGUGAAAUCCCGGGGCUCAACCCCGGAACUGCCUUUGAUACUGGUAGUCUUGAGUUCGAGAGAGGUGAGUGGAAUUCCGAGUGUAGAGGUGAAAUUCGUAGAUAUUCGGAGGAACACCAGUGGCGAAGGCGGCUCACUGGAUCGAUACUGACGCUGAGGUGCGAAAGCGUGGGGAGCAAACAGG